rnacentral:tRNA from 1 species
GCCAGCAUGGUGUAGUGGUUUGAGUGUUGGACUACCACUCUGGAGACCUGGGUUUGAUUCCCUGCUCUGCCA